GCAGUGGUGGUUCAGUGCUAGAAUUCUCACCUUCUAUGAGGGAGACCUGGGUUCGAUUCCCCACCAGUGCA
rnacentral:tRNA from 1 species